AGAGAGAGAGAGAGAGAGAGAGAGAGAGAGAGAGAGAAGAGGACAGCUACUGUUUGUGGCCAAGGACUCUUGGAGCCUGGAGGCUGGGCUACAGAGAGACGUGAGGAACGACCCCAAGGUCACAGGAAACAGAGUUAGGUUCCUGUGUCCUGCUACCCAACCCUGGAAGAGAACAAGAGAGGCUGAGAGGAAAGGAUGAAAGAGAAAGAGUCUCUGUAGGGAGACUGGAGGUGGUUCAUUGGGCAGAGGCCACGGGGCUUCAGGAUGACUGACAAGGCCUCCAGGAAUCAGAUGUAUGGACUGGCCCCACCCCCGCCCUACCCCCAGUUUCCAGAAACCCAGCAAAAGAAGCUUAAGUCUCCCCCUGCGGUAGUGAGGGAACCAGGCAGGGCUAGAGAGGCCCACAGCUGCUGGGGAAGCGGUGAGGUUGGGACUCUCCCCUGCCUCAGUUUCCUUAUCUUAGAACAGGGCCGGUGGUGAGGUCGGGGGGUGGGGUGCGGGGUGGGAGGUGUCUCUGUGUCUUCCUUCCUUCUGUAUUUCCAGCUUUGGGGACAAGCUGGGUGCAAUGACUCAGCCAACAGGAAGAAGGAGAUUGCUGGCAGCCAGCGUGCUGGCCAGUACUAGGAAUUCAAGACAAUACAGAGCUAAGCGUCACCUUCCUGCUGGUCCAUUUGCCCAUACAUCCGUCCAGUCAUCCAUCUGGCCAUCCGCCCCCUACAUGUUUACUAGGUUAUCCGGGAAGGAUUGGUAAGUAUUUGCUACGGGGAGGCACCAUGUGUGGGAUCAACAUGAGGCCGCCACCUUCCCCUCCUGCAUACCCCAUCCCUGUUUCCAUCGACCCACCAUCGCUGUCCUUUGGAAUAUGAUCAGGAACACUACUAGGUUGGGAGUCAACACUGAACCUGUGCCUGUCAUGUGACCUAGGCUGGCCUGGUGAACUCUCUGUGUCUUGGUUGGUCAAGGACAACGACUGGAGCCCUUGUUCUGCCCAGGAGAAGAGGUCCCUGGAUUAACAGCAUGUCUAGUCUAGUUACCAUGGAUCUUCCAGGGCAGCUCACCUAAUCCAGAUGAUCCCUCACAGUUUUAGGUCAGGCUGGACCUGGGCCAGCCCACACUGCAGAAGGAAGCCACGCCACUUGUUCCUGGUCCAGUUCUCAGCCCCGUGGAACCAAAGCAAACCAGUGGAACUGCCACCCAUUUCCCACCUACAGAGGGCUGCGAUGCUAAAGCUCUGGAACCAGGCCGCCUGGAGGAUGCCCGGCUCCAUACUUAUUAUGGGCUGGUUGGUUGUGGGCAGGUGGUGGGACCAAAUGCUCCUCUCCCCCACCCCUGAGGGUCAGAGGAGGACUAAGGAGCUGAAGCAGGCCAUCCAGGGCAGCGGCUGGGGCAGAAUUCCUUUCCAUCCCCAGCAAGGCAGUGACUACAUUCUUCACACAGCCCGAGGACAGGGCUGAGGCAGGCUGGGCCUCUAGGUCUGCUGCUUUUCCCAAAGAAAAGCAGUCCUCAGCUUUUGCUGGGUUGCUGGCUGCGUGGUUUGGAGACUACAUUUCCCAGUUUCCUUAGUCAUGUGACCAAACGCUGGCCAAUGGGAUGUCAGCAGAAGUUUUCUGUAAAAGCAGAGGGUAGAGCACACACACACACACACACACAGGCGCGCGCGCGCGCG